GAAGAAAGUAUUUCGCUUACGACGAAAAAAACCUGAGGGCUUCUUUAUAAUAUGUGUGGUUAGAUAA
rnacentral:tRNA from 1 species